CCUACGGGGAGCAGCAGUGGGGGAUAUUGCACAAUGGGGGGAACCCUGAUGCAGCGACGCCGCGUGGGUGAAGGAGUGCUUCGGCAUGUAAAGCCCUAUCGGCAGGGAAGAAGCAAGACGGUACCUGACUAAGAAGCCCCGGCUAACUACGUGCCAGCAGCCGCGGUAAUACGUAGGGGGCGAGCGUUAUCCGGAUUCACUGGGUGUAAAGGGAGCGUAGACGGCCAUGCAAGCCAGGGGUGAAAGCCCGGGGCCCAACCCCGGGACUGCCCUUGGAACUGUGCGGCUAGAGUGCGGGAGGGGCAGGCGGAAUUCCUGGUGUAGCGGUGAAAUGCGUAGAUAUCAGGAGGAACACCGGCGGCGAAGGCGGCCUGCUGGACUGCGACUGACGUUGAGGCUCGAAAGCGUGGGGAGCGAACAGGAUUAGAUACCCCUGUAGUC
rnacentral:rRNA from 1 species